rnacentral:lncRNA from 1 species
AAAGAUUACAUCAUGCUUGCUUCAAAAAUCAAAAUGGGUCCUGUUUAGCUCAAAUUCCACUACGCAAAUGCUCAGGAUUCGGUCAAUUGACCCAUCUGAUUUCGACUUUGACUUGCAUUACAGGAUUCGUUGUAUUUGGAUGCCAGCUUGACCCGGCGUUGAAUCAACCGGUGGCCGGUGGUUGGCCCUGCCAGGAGUCAAUACUUGACUGGUUGGGUUUACCACUUUGCUGGCUUUUACUUGCUCGCCUUUUUGUUGUCUACCCUGCUUUCGUUGCCUCGGGGCUCCCUUGUUCAUAAGUCUAACAAAAUGUCUUCUAACUCUAAAUCUCAUAAAGAGAAAAAAGAGAAAUUUAAGAGCAGAAUAAAAAAAAAUUUUACAGUCAUUCAGCUGACGUCGUUACCAAUUCAAUGGCGGCGUUUGGAAGACAUGAAGAGAGAGAAUACUUACCAGUUACCAGUACUAGAAUGGUUAUAUUCUAUCAGAAGAGGCUGCUCUAACGAUAAGGGAAACUUUGCAAAUUGACUAAUAGCCGAAACAUUUGACGAUGAUCUUGAAUCAUGAUGCCUGAAACGAAAAAGAAGAAGCAGAUGUUAAGUUUCAGAGGCCCGCUUAAAAAAUAAAAUAU